GUUUGAUGCAAAGGUGCUUUCUCUAUCACUGGACAUGAACAGGAAGUCAAUGGGAUGAAGCCAGAGCAGAAGAUGACUGAGCAGAAAUUAACAAAGUACAUCAGUCCCAGCAUGUCCUUGAGGAGUACCUGGAACAACUAAUCUCGGGAGUCUGUGCUUCCUCUAGAGUACCAGUCAUGCCCACAUGUGAUGAAGACAGGAUUCUAAGGUUUGGCACUUCUUCAAAUUGGAUUAGUUGGAGGAUGUUUCAAAGUUGGAAAGUUAUGUGUGUUACCCUUGGCACUGGAUGAUUGCAACAGUAAGUGGCAACUGGGAUAUUUCUCCAGAGCUUCUACAACAACAAAUUGAGAGUUUCACAAGCACCUGGGGCCCAGCAGACGUUGGGAAGCCUAUUCUGGGACUCGCCUCCAUCUAAAUGAUUUGAAAAUUCAGCUCCUGAACACAGCCAGAUUGCUGUCAGCAAUUCGAAUAAGUUUUAACAACACUGGAUCCACCUCAAGGUUAUUUCUUCAAUAUCAUACAGAAAAUAUUGUAAAUGAAGGAAAUAUGAUGCAAAGUGGUAGUAUUCUAGUAAUCUAGUCUAUUUUUAUGAAGUCUCCCUGCUAUCUUGACUGAUGGAGAAAAAAUUUUCAUAACAAAGUCUAUUUCUUGUACAUCUGAAAUAUUCCCUACAAAAAUAACCCCUCUUUCCUGGGAUGCUAAACAUAAGACCUUAUACUUAUAUAAUAAUUCACCUAAAGGAAAUUCCUUCCUGCUUUGGCCUUCACAUUCUAUCCAAGGUCUGUAUCCAACCAGAUAGUAUUAUCUAUUCAAAUGUAACCUGGACCUCUGAUGAGCACUAACUUUUACUUCCGUGGAUAAGCAGGGGGUUUAGAUCUACAAAGUCAAUAUAUAAAGCAGCAUUCAGACCAUUGUAGUCCUUGCAAUCGCUCAAUUCAUUGAAUGAGGUAAUUUGUGUCAGAUUCAUAUGGCUGAGAUUUAUUUACAUAGAUUAAACCACUGAGUGUCAUUGGAUGUUUAAGCCUUGUUCUAAGAAUGGCACAUAAUUCAAGCAUGCUGAAUAAGAGCCAUCCCUAAAGACUAAUUCACAAGAACCAGGAUAACAUGUACCUGCUUUGUCGACUUCCAUUUAAGCAGAAUUAGAGGUUACCUUACCAGAUGCUCUAAGCACUAGUAAUGAACAUGCAUUCUCCCCCUGCGAAUAUUAUAAUAAAUUCAGAAAAAGUCCAGUUCUGACAUCCAAAGGGCAGCAAUAUUAUAUCACUGACAAUAUGCCAUUAGCAGUCAUUUUCACUUAUUACUGUUCUCUAGGCUUAGAGUGGGGUGUCCUGUUUGGUUUUAUUGCUUCUUUGUAGCAUUUCCCAAUUUGAGCUAGAGAGCUGCAUUUUUCAUAUAAGCCCUGUAAUUUUUCACACACAAGUCUAGCUUCUCAUGGAUUCGGUGCAUUAAGUGACUCAACAUCAUACCAGAGUGUGAUCUUCCCAACCAACCACUGGGUAACAUAGCACUAUCCUCAGUAUUAUGGAAGAGGAGUGAAUCUUCAUCCUCUUUUUUGAAGAGCUUCCCCACAAGGGGCUACGCAAACAUACUUUCUGGAUCCUAUGUUGUUCCCACCCAGUGUACAUCAAGAUUCCCUUAAGAACUCUAUUUCCGGUCAGGCAUGGUGGCUCAUGCCUAUAAUCCCAGCACUUUGGGAGGCCAAGGCAGGCAGAUCAUUUGAGGUCAGCAGUUCGAGACCAGCCUGGCCAACACAGUGAAACUCCAUCUCUACUAAAAAAUACAAAAAUUAGCUGGGUGGCAAUGGCACGUGCCUGUAAUCCCAGCUACUCAGGAGGCUGAGGCAGGAGAAUCACUUACCCUGGAAGGUGGAGGUUGCAGUGAGUGGAGAUCCUGCCACUGUACUCUAGUCGAGGGUGACAGAGUGAGACCUUGUCUAAACAAAAACAAAAAACAAAAACAACCUCUAUUUCCCCUUCCAAAUCUUCUCUAACUUGUCCUUGUAAUAAAAGAAGCAAUAAAAUUUUCUAAAUCCUGGCAGAUGCCUGAGUACAUUCUUAUACAAACAACUUAUAAAUAAC
rnacentral:lncRNA from 10 species